CUCCUCCUCCUCCUCCUCCAACGCCCAGGGCCGCGGGCAGCGCAUGGCAAGUGACGCCGGGUUGUGUUUUGUCCCCGUGUCACCCACGCGGCUGUGUCUGGCCAGGCCCCCGCUCCGUGUUUACUACGGGGUUUUUAAGGCUGGGGAAGAAAUCCCCCCCUCCCUCCCCACCGCCGGUCGGGCCUUUGUAGAGUUCAGCGCAGAGCUGGGGAGAUAAAAGGAUUGUUUCAGAGGUGGCUGGAGGGUUCCCCCGUUCGCUCAGGUUGACAGGAAAAUGAGGCUUACCGACCCCACAAGGGGCAGGAGACGGCUGUCUUGAGUCCAGAAACGCUCCUCAAAGAAAGGGGCGAGAGCCCCUUUUUGCUCUUCUGUGAAAAUCUCAGGGCCUGGCAGUGCCUUAAAUCGAGCUGUGAGGUCAGCUGCUUUUUUUUUUUUCCUUCAAAUUUUUGUCUCCAAAUUACAGUUGGACUACUUGAGGUUUAUUUGAAGCGAGCCGCAGCUCAGCUUGCUCGUCCUGCGUUGAGCCUCCUCUAAGUGCACACGCGGUCAAGAGUGUGGGAUUCCCUCUCCAAACACCAGCCAGCCCUCUCACAGCUAGCAACUGACUGAAAACCGCUGCUGUGGUGUUGUCCACGUAACACCCUGUCCCUGGUGUUCCUCUGUUUGCUGUCGUUGUGUGCCUGGUCUCAAUUUUCUCUCUCCCCUCUGGCUUUGUAUGAGAAGUCUUUACGUCUGCAUCAAGAAAAAAUAUUAACACCCACAAAGACAAACAAAGUGCUGAGUUUUACAGCCGAAGCAGGUUCCCCAUCUGUUUUGUCCUACAGCUCACCCUCUUGGACUUUAAUUUUAGUGAACUGCCGAGUUGUACCACCCGGGGCUUCCAGCCUGGUCACUCCCAAAGUUCCACCAGCACCAGGAGCUGGUGACAGCACUCAGGAGUAAGGAAGGGCAGCCAGCCAUGACAGUAGAAGUUACCUGGGGUAAACCGAGAAAGCAGUGGAGAAAAAGAUGAGGAACCAAGUGGAGCAAAAUCAACAUAAUUUUCUUAGGCUGUCAUAAGGGUGUUGAAUUGCCAUGAAGUACCUCCCAGCCUGGUAACGUAGUGCCCAGAGCUUCCACAGGCAAAUGACAACGUUUAUAUUAUGCUAUACCAUAAACUAUAAAAAUCUAGCUUGGAACAAGAGCCCUGUUGACGUUAGGUGCUGUACCAGGAUGUGAUAAAAAUUAUUCUGCCUCUAAGAGCUGACGCAGUGCUCCUGGAGCUGACAUGGAGAAGUGAAGAGGUGAUGAGAACAGCAAUGAUGACGCGAUUUCAGGGACUGCCUGUCAGCACAGCACGCUUCCAACUGAGGGGUUUCUAUAAUUGAGGUUACAACAUGAGUUUUGACUACCAGAUGAAAGCACAACUCUUGCAGGGAUAAUUCACUACUACAGAAGAUGCUACAAGAGUUGCCUUAUGGAAAUGGAUUUGUGGACAAGAGCAAGAGGGGAAACUACAUUUGCAGUAAACUAAAGCAUCAUUCGCAGAUCAUCUCUUAAGUCCUACCAGUGACCUUUUGGAAGUACACACAGCCUGGACAGACAAAAAAGAAAAGAACUUCAGUGAUUAACGCAAAGGAAGGACAGCAACAUAUAUAACCUGAAGAACAGCUGAUUAAGAAGAUUCUGCCACAGGAUCAUUUACAAGUGCAAGAGCAAGUGAAACUGUGUGGUGGAUUCCUUUCUCCCUGGUUGGAACUCCCUGUGUUCCUAGAGCUGAUCCACGUUGUUUCCCAGUUUUCAUGCACAGGGAUAAGAAGUAUGUCUCUAAAGGAAAAAACGAUAUCGCCCAUGCUACCUGAAGUCUGUGCUUGAAGAAAUACCUCCAGCCAUUGCAGCAGGAGGGCCUCAGAUUGCAGGCAUGCCUAAUCCCAUGAACUCAGUGCAGUUUGCAUGGAAAACCUUCAAAGACAACCCCAAGUGCUUACGAGAGUGGUGGAGCUCUUUCACCAGACAGCCGUUUCCCUUUGACUCAGUCUUGCCACAGUGCCUGAACAGGAGAGGUGCGGGACAUGGCGCUGUUGGAGAUGUCACUACUGUUCACUUGCCUUCAUUCUGACUUGGCGUUUCUCUCUGGAGCUGAAACUUCUGUUUGAUAGUUCCAAAGAGCAUCAGGAUUUUCAGAUUGUCCCAUCAACCUAGAAGACCCUGCCGUGCUGCAGGCAUGUUAUUCAGAGCUGUCUCACUGGGAUGGCUGUGGCUCGUCACACACCACCCUGAGCACCUGAACUUAAACUCUCUCUCUUGAAGAGGUCUAAGGUCUGCACAAGGGAAGUCCUGAAGGUAUUCCAGCAUCAACCAAAAAGACUCACGGUUUUUAGCUUGUGCAGUUAUUGGAAAAUGGCUAUAAAAUUAUAGUCUGGAACUUGAAAAAGGUGACUUUCUGGUUCUUGCUGAGUGUAGUCUUCCAACAAAGUUACUGUGCCAUUUUCAAGUGGCUGCAGUAUGUUUUAUUCUCUGUUGUGUUAAGUUAUUGUGGUAACUGCCUUGUUUUACUCUAAGUGUGAUUUCAGUUAUUAAGUGCUUCGUAAUGAUAGCAAUUGCAUGAAUAUAUCACUGAACUUGGUUCUCUUUGUAGAAGUUAAACCAUGGCUCUUACGUUACAGAUGGUGCACCUAAAAUCUUGACACUUUCCGCCUCAUGUACUCUAUACCUUAUUAUGUAUUCAAGAUAAUAAAUGCCACAUAUACCUAUGUACAAUGUCCAAGAGCCAGAGCUGUAAUGGCAUCUAAUGUAUCAGCCCUGGAAUAAUCACUUGCAAGAUCACUGAGGUCAACAGUAUUUUGUCUUAGUUGUUGACUGUCAGGUUUGCUACAAAUGAAAAUGCAAACUGAAACCUUUAAAAAGAAAUAGAAACAAACAAUAGCACAAAAUAAAGUUUUCUGUUUUAAUAUUUAAAGUUAAAAUAGCUUAGUAACUGAAGUGCUUUGUUUUUGGUUUAUCACAAAACAUUUUCUCUAAAAACAAUUUUUUAAACUGAAUGUAAUUAUUAAGCCACUUCCUUGGUAAUGGGUAAAGCAGCAGAACGAUAUAUUUGAGCACUGUGUCCUCGUUCUACUUUCAGGCAGAUUCAUAAAUGCCUUAAAACUGAGUCACAACAACAGACAAAAAAAUAAGUAGUUAAUGUGGCUGGAUUUGGUUGAAAAUAUUUGUAAAGGAACUUUCACCGCUCUUUCUUACACUGUGUUGCAACAAAUGAAUUAAACCAUUUUUAUUUUCUCCUUGAA